rnacentral:lncRNA from 1 species
AUGAAUGAGAAGGUGGAGACAGAGAAGGAAAAGAGAACAAGAACUGUGGUAUUGGUUAAGUGCUCGCUCUGCGCCAAGCACUGUACCAAGCGCUGGGGUAGAGAGAUCCCCCAAGAUGAUGAGUUCAGAUGGAGUUUCCAUCCCGGAAGGGCCCGGCAGUGUAGGCGGCCGCUCGGGUUCCCAUUCAUUAGAAGCACUGUACUAAGCCCUUGGAAAGUACAAUUCACUUGGAAAGUACAAUUCCCUCAGCCCUGCCCCUGUCCUGCCUCUGCCCCUACCCUUACCCUUGUCCUGCCCCUGCCCCUGUCCUACCCCUGCCCCGCCCUGCCCCUGUCCCUGUCCCGUCCCUGUCUCUGUCCCUCCCCUGCUCCUGUCCUGUCCCGUCUCUGUUCUUCCUUUGCUCCUGUCCUGCCCCUGUCCUACCCCUGCCCCGUCCUUCCCCUGCUCCCGUCCUGCCCCUGCUCCUGUCCUCCCCCUGCCCCGUCCCUGUCCUGCUCCUGCCCCUGUCCUGCCCCUGCCCCACCCCUGCCCCUGCCCCUGUCCCUGUCCUGCCCCUGCUCCUGUCCUCCCCCUGUCCCGUCCCUGUCCUGCCCCUGCCUCUGUCCUGCCCCUGCCUCUGUCCUGCCCCUGUCCCUGCUCCUGUCCUCCCCCUGCCCCAUCCCUGUCCUGUCCCUGCCCCGUCCUGCCCCUGCUCCUGUCCUGCCCCGUCCCUGCCCCUGUCCUGUCCCUGCCCCUGUCCUGUCCCUGCUCCUGUCCUGCCCCUGCCCCUGUCCUGUCCCUGCUCCUGUCCUGCCCCUGCCCCUGCUCCGUCCCUGCUCCUGUCCUGUCCCUGCCCCGUCCUGCCCCUGCCCCUGUUCCUGUCCCCCCCCUGCCCCGUCCCUGUCCUGCCCCUGCCCCUAUCCCGCCCCUGCUCCUGUCCUGCCCCCGCCCCCGUCCUGCCCCUGCCCCUGGAGCAAAGCACUUGUGUGGGCAAGGAGGAGUGUGCGAUCCCCGCCGCCGGGAGCCCCUCCUCCGGCCGUGUGCCGAUCCCGGGGGUCCGGAGGGUGGGACGGGCUGGGAUGUGGAUGUGGACGGGAGCGGGUGUCCGUGCGGGCUCCUCCGCGGGCUGCCGCUGCCCCCCGCCUCAUCCCGCCCCUCACCCCCGGGACCCCCCCGCCCCCCCCCUCCGACCGCCCCGCUCCCCCCAUCGCCCCCCGCCCCAGGACCCUCCGACCCUGGGGUCCCCCUUCUAGCCUGCGAGCCCGUCGUCGGGCGGGACUGGUCUCUCUCUGUUGCCCAGUUGUCCGUUCCAAGCCCGGAGCCCAGUGCUCCGCACAGAGUGGGCGCUCAAUAAAUCCCACUGAAUAA